GUCCAGGUGGGAUAGCUCAGUCAGUAGAGCAUGAAACUCUUAAUCUCAGGGUCAUUGGUUUGAGUCCCACGAUGGGCA